GGCGGGCGGCCGGGGGCGCGGAAGUUCUCGCGGGUGCUGGGCGUCUGGCGCGAUCCGGAACAAACUGGGGCGGUUGGGGGGCCGAGGUGACUUCUGACGUGUCCACAUCUGCAGUAGGAAAAUUACCGGGUUGUGGACGGUCCGAGGGAAGGUGUCACAUUGGGCUGCGGACGCUAAAACGUGUUGGAGUCCCUGUUUACGUGCCAGAGAAUAUAAAACGCGUCGGGCCCCGAUUUAUCUGUCUGCGACCCGCACCGUUGUUUGAUUGGCAGCUAAUGUUUUUACCAGCCGGUUUUGAUUUUACUUAUGAUAAAGGCAUUUCGUUUCCUUCUUUCACAGACCCUAAUGGUUAGCGUUCCAUUCUCCAAGCGUCGGAAAAGUAGCGUGAUAUCAAACUUGCUUCCUUAUGCUCAGUGUUCUCCUUGAGAUGACUGAUCGCGAAUGUCGCCAACGCUCCCCAGUCGCUGGAAACCUGGCAGUCAUCCUAGACUCAUCGCUGUCACGUCAAGUCCCCAGCACAUUUUGUGCCCGCUGUCCCACAUGAAUCUUCUACCUGGGCACCUGCGUCUCCAUGUCUCUCCUGUGCCCUGCGGCCCACAUCACUCCCCCUCCUCUGCUCUGACCUCGGACGCCUCCCGGCCCGCCGUGCGUUUCCCUCAGCGCCCCCCACAUGCGGCCAGCGUCCUCAUCCUACCCGCGCUCACGGUCUCCUAGGCACCUGCCUUUGCGUCUGUGGCGAAACUGUUACUCCUAGGCCACCAAUGCCCCACCGUCCAGCUCCCACCUGUCUGCAGCCUCCCUCCGGCCACUCUGCUCGGGUCCAGCUCCUGGCCGCCUCGCUCGUCCCUCCCGCUUUCUCUGCGCUGCUCCUCCGCGGUGACUGUCGCUGCCCGAGGUGCCCCCGACCCACCUGCUUGUGGAGGUGCUCUCCAGCUUUGAGAGGCAGCCAAGGGACAUGGUGAUUGGCUUGGUCUCUGGAACCAGACGGUUGGGUCGUCCCGACCCUGCCUCUGACCGGUGGUGUGACUCGACCUUCUGAUCCCUGCCUCCUUACAGCGAGGACAGAGUGUGCAGCGCGUUUGUCACAGUGUCUGUGGAUGGCAAGUGCCUCCUGGAGGGCAGGUCUCAGGAAGUCAGGAGCUGGCCCCUGUCCCUGAGCCUCGCUGCCUUUGCCUGGGAACUGGGGAUAAGGCCAGGUCAUUCUUCGUGUUUUAGGCUGACAGGCCUGAUUGAGCAUCUUCCCUGUUGGGGUAGAAAUGAUGGGCCCCACUCUGGUGACAGUUUCCCCACUAAACAAGUCCCUGAGUCCUUUUACCUGCAGGCAGGUGGAGCCAGAAAUGGCUUCUCCAGGCUCUGGAGGUAAAGCCGGGAGACACUGGGGUUAAAAUUAAGCCUCAGACCAUCUGACGGCCACAGGGUCUACUAAGGGUUGUUAGCUCAGUGUUACUCUGAUGGGUGGUGGUAGCAGUGACCGAGAAAGUGUCGCUCUGUGCGGGAGCAGCGUUGUCAUUUUAUGUCUGACGAGGCUGUAAUUGGCCAGACUUUAAUGCAUGGAGUAACACCUGUUACGUCAGGCUCUUUUGCAGCUCUGUGAGCCUUUAAAAAAUAACUUGCCAUUUAUGUUCAA